UCCCAGUUCGGAUUGUAGUCUGCAACCCGACUACAUGAAGCUGGAAUCGCUAGUAAUCGCGAAUCAGAAUGUCGCGGUGAAUACGUUCCCGGGUCUUGUACACACCGCCCGUCACACCAUGGGAGUCGGAAAUGCCCGAAGUCAGUGACCCAACCGUAAGGAGGGAGCUGCCGAAGGUGGAGCCGGUAACUGGGGUGAAGUCGUAACAAGGUAUC
rnacentral:rRNA from 1 species